rnacentral:rRNA from 1 species
UACGGAGGGAGCUAGCGUUACUCGGAAGCACUGGGCGUAAAGGGCGCGUAGGCGGCCUAGCUAGUCUGGUGUGAAAGCCCAGGGCUCAACCCUGGAAGGGCACUGGAAACUGUUAGGCUUGAGUUCCGGAGAGGAGGGGGGAAUUCCCGGUGUAGCGGUGAAAUGCGUAGAUAUCGGGAGGAAUGCCGGUGGCGAAGGCGCCCCUCUGGACGGAAACUGACGCUGAGGCGCGAAAGCGUGGGGAGCAAACAGG